UACGUAGGGUGCAAGCGUUAAUCGGAAUUACUGGGCGUAAAGCGUGCGCAGGCGGUGAUGUAAGACAGAUGUGAAAUCCCCGGGCUCAACCUGGGAACUGCAUUUGUGACUGCAUCGCUGGAGUACGGCAGAGGGGGGAUGGAAUUCCGCGUGUAGCAGUGAAAUGCGUAGAUAUGCGGAGGAACACCGAUGGCGAAGGCAAUCCCCCUGGGCCUGUACUGACGUCAUGCACGAAAGC
rnacentral:rRNA from 1 species